rnacentral:rRNA from 1 species
CUCAGAUUGAACGCUGGCGGCAGGCCUAACACAUGCAAGUCGAGCGGCAGCGGAAAGUAGCUUGCUACUUUGCCGGCGAGCGGCGGACGGGUGAGUAAUGUCUGGGAAACUGCCUGAUGGAGGGGGAUAACUACUGGAAACGGUAGCUAAUACCGCAUAACGUCGCAAGACCAAAGAGGGGGACCUUCGGGCCUCUUGCCAUCAGAUGUGCCCAGAUGGGAUUAGCUAGUAGGUGGGGUAAUGGCUCACCUAGGCGACGAUCCCUAGCUGGUCUGAGAGGAUGACCAGCCACACUGGAACUGAGACACGGUCCAGACUCCUACGGGAGGCAGCAGUGGGGAAUAUUGCACAAUGGGCGCAAGCCUGAUGCAGCCAUGCCGCGUGUAUGAAGAAGGCCUUCGGGUUGUAAAGUACUUUCAGCGGGGAGGAAGGCGAUAAGGCUAAUAACCUUGUCGAUUGACGUUACCCGCAGAAGAAGCACCGGCUAACUCCGUGCCAGCAGCCGCGGUAAUACGGAGGGUGCAAGCGUUAAUCGGAAUUACUGGGCGUAAAGCGCACGCAGGCGGUCUGUCAAGUCGGAUGUGAAAUCCCCGGGCUCAACCUGGGAACUGCAUUCGAAACUGGCAGGCUAGAGUCUUGUAGAGGGGGGUAGAAUUCCAGGUGUAGCGGUGAAAUGCGUAGAGAU